UCGUGGAGUGAUUUGUCUGCUUGAUUGCGAUAACGGACGAGACCUUGUGGGGAUGUUGCUUACCCAGUAUGGGCUUCCAUGGCUGGGGGGAUCUUCUCCGACUGCUGAAUGUGUUUUAACCAGAGGAAGUUCUAGGCUAAAACA
rnacentral:rRNA from 1 species